GUGCCAGCCGCCGCGGUAAUACGUAGGGGGCAAGCGUUGUCCGGAAUCAUUGGGCGUAAAGCGCGUGUAGGCGGUUCGGUAAGUCUGCUGUGAAAGUCCAGGGCUCAACCCUGGGAUGCCGGUGGAUACUGUCGGACUAGAGUACGGAAGAGGCGAGUGGAAUUCCCGGUGUAGCGGUGAAAUGCGCAGAUAUCGGGAGGAACACCAAUUGCGAAGGCAGCUCGCUGGGACGUCACUGACGCUGAGACGCGAAAGCGUGGGGAGCAAACAGGAUUAGAUACCCUGGUAGUCCACGCCGUAAACGAUGGGCACUAGGUGUGGGGGGUGUCGACUCCCUCCGUGCCGAAGCUAACGCAUUAAGUGCCCCGCCUGGGGAGUACGGCCGCAAGGCUAAA
rnacentral:rRNA from 1 species